AUUCGAAUUCCACAGGAUUGAUUUAGCAGAAGAGUUCUUGAAGACUAUAUUCAUCACCCAAAACUGAAAACAUA
rnacentral:snoRNA from 1 species